GAUGAAGAACGUAGCGAAAUGCGAUAAGUAAUGCGAAUUGCAGAAUUCAGUGAGUCAUCGAAUCUUUGAACGCACAUUGCGCCCCCUGGUAUUCCGGGGGGCAUGCCUGUCCGAGCGUCAUUGCUGCCCUCAAGCACGGCUUGUGUGUUGGGCCCCGCCCCCCGGCUCCCGGGGGGCGGGCCCGAAAGGCAGCGGCGGCACCGCGUCCGGUCCUCGAGCGUAUGGGGCUUCGUCACCCGCUCCGUAGGCCCGGCCGGCGCCCGCCGGCGACCCCCCUCAAUCUUUUCAGGUUGACCUCGGAUCAGGUAGGGAUACCCGCUGAACUUAAGCAUAUCAAUAAGCGGAGGA
rnacentral:misc_RNA from 1 species